AGAAUUUUAUGUAUCACAGUGUUCAACUGAAAAUGCUUUUCUAAUUAGUAUAUAUAGCAAGCUCUACCAUUUAU